UACGUAGGGUGCAAGCGUUAAUCGGAAUUACUGGGCGUAAAGCGUGCGCAGGCGGUUUUGUAAGACAGGCGUGAAAUCCCCGGGCUCAACCUGGGAAUUGCGCUUGUGACUGCAAGGCUGGAGUGCGGCAGAGGGGGAUGGAAUUCCGCGUGUAGCAGUGAAAUGCGUAGAUAUGCGGAGGAACACCGAUGGCGAAGGCAAUCCCCUGGGCCUGCACUGAUGCUCAUGCACGAAAGCGUGGGGAGCAAACAGG
rnacentral:rRNA from 1 species